GCCCCUGUAGCUCAGUGGUAGAGCAAUCGCCUUGUAAGCGAUAGGUCGUCGGUUCAAUCCCGACCGGGGGCU
rnacentral:tRNA from 1 species